rnacentral:rRNA from 1 species
AUGGUUCCUUGGGUAUUUGAGAAUGAAUGGGAAUUUAAACCUCCUUCCAGAGUAUCAAUUGGGAGGGCAAGUCUGGUGCCAGCAGCCGCGGUAAUUCCAGCUCCAAUAGCGUAUAUUAAAAUUGUUGCAGUUAAAAAGCUCGUAGUUGAAUUUCUGCUGCAUUGCUUUUGCUCCUUUACGAGUCUUUGCAUUGUGGCUUAUUUCGGACUUUGUUUUACAAUGUCCGGAUGUUUACUUUGAGAAAAUUAGAGUGCUCAAAGCAGGCUUUCGCCUUGAAUAGUUUAGCAUGGAAUAAUAAAGUAGGACUUUGGUUCUAUUUUGUUGGUUUUAGGUACCAAAGUAAUGGUUAAUAGGAACAGUUGGGGGCAUUCGUAUUUAACUGUCAAGGGAAAUUUCUUUAAACC